rnacentral:rRNA from 1 species
UACGAAGGGGGCUAGCGUUGCUCGGAUUUACUGGGCGUAAAGGGCGCGUAGGCGGACAGUUUAGUCAGAGGUGAAAGCCCAGGGCUCAACCUUGGAAUUGCCUUUGAUACUGGCUGUCUUGAGUACGGGAGAGGUGAGUGGAACUCCGAGUGUAGAGGUGAAAUUCGUAGAUAUUCGGAAGAACACCAGUGGCGAAGGCGACUCGCUGGACAAGUAUUGACGCUGAGGUGCGAAAGCGUGGGGAGCAAACAGG